rnacentral:rRNA from 1 species
AAAGGAAUAGACGGGGACCCGCACAAGCGGUGGAGCAUGUGGUUUAAUUCGACGAUAAGCGAGGAACCUUACCAAGGCUUGACAUCUAGCUGCAGGCACCUGGAAACAGGAGCCGCCUUCGAGGGUGCUAGACAGGUGCUGCAUGGUUGUCGUCAGCUCGUGUCGUGAGAUGUACGGUUAAGUCCGGAAACGAGCGCAACCCCUGCCCUAAUUUAUACUUUAUUAGGGGACCGCCGUGUUUAACACGGAGGAAGGUGGGGAUGACGUCAAAUCAGCAUGGCCCUUACGCCUUGGGCAACACACAUGCUACAAUGGCCGGUACAAAGGGUUGCUAAGCCGAAAGGCGGAGCUAAUCCCAUCAAAGCCGGUCUCAGUUCGGAUUGAGGUCUGCAACUCGACCUCAUGAAGCUGGAAUCGCUAGUAACCGUGAAUCAUAACGUCACGGUGAAUACGUUCUCGGGUCUUGUACACACCGCCCGU